GGGAUUAGAUACCCCACUAUGCCAUGGUGUAAACCACGACCUCAUUGUCCGCCAGAAAAUUACGGGCACCACCCAAUUCAGCCUAAAACUCAAAAGACUUGACGGUGUCCCAAUCUACCUAGAGGAGCCUGUUCCAUAAUCGAUAACCCCCGAUCAACCCGACCACCUCUUGUUCCUAUCCAGCCUAUAUACCGCCGUCACCAGCUUACCUUUUAAGAGUAUUAUCGUAAGCACAAAAGUAUUUACUAAAAAGUCAGGUCAAGGUGUAGCUAAUGAGGUGGAGCUAAUGGGCUACAUUAUCUGACCCAGAUAACCUACGACUUAGUCUUUGAAACACGACUAUAAAGGAGGAUUUAGCAGUAAAGCCGGUUAAGCACACCCACUUUAACCCUGCUCUGGGACAUGUACACACCGCCCGUCACCC
rnacentral:rRNA from 1 species